UCCUACGGGACGAAGCAGUGAGGAAUAUUGGUCAAUGGGAGAGAUCCUGAACCAGCCAAGCCGCGUGAGGGAAGACGGCCCUAUGGGUUGUAAACCUCUUUUGUCGGAGAACAAAACCCGGGACGUGUCCCGGACUGCGUGUAUCCGAAGAAAAAGCAUCGGCUAACUCCGUGCCAGCAGCCGCGGUAAUACGGAGGAUGCGAGCGUUAUCCGGAUUUAUUGGGUUUAAAGGGUGCGAAGGCGGUCUGUUAAGUCAGCGGUAAAAUUGCGGGGCUCAACCCAGUCGAGCCGUUGAAACUGGCAGA
rnacentral:rRNA from 1 species